rnacentral:rRNA from 1 species
AACGAACGCUGGCGGCAGGCCGAACACAUGCAAGUCGAGCGGACCCUUCGGGGUUAGCGGCGGACGGGUGAGUAACGCGUGGGAAUAUGCCCUUCUCUACGGAAUAGUCCUGGGAAACUGGGGGUAAUACCGUAUACGCCCUUUGGGGGAAAGAUUUAUCGGGGAAGGAUUAGCCCGCGUUGGAUUAGGUAGUUGGUGGGGUAAUGGCCUACCAAGCCGACGAUCCAUAGCUGGUUUGAGAGGAUGAUCAGCCACACUGGGACUGAGACACGGCCCAGACUCCUACGGGAGGCAGCAGUGGGGAAUCUUAGACAAUGGGGGCAACCCUGAUCUAGCCAUGCCGCGUGAGUGAUGAAGGCCUUAGGGUUGUAAAGCUCUUUCAGCUGGGAAGAUAAUGACGGUACCAGCAGAAGAAGCCCCGGCUAACUCCGUG